UACGGGGGGGGGCAAGCGUUGUUCGGAAUUACUGGGCGUAAAGGGCUCGUAGGCGGCCAACUAAGUCAGACGUGAAAUCCCUCGGCUUAACCGGGGAACUGCGUCUGAUACUGGAUGGCUUGAGUGUGGGAGAGGGAUGCGGAAUUCCAGGUGUAGCGGUGAAAUGCGUAGAUAUCUGGAGGAACACCGGUGGCGAAGGCGGCAUUCUGGACCAUUACUGACGCUGAGGAGCGAAAAGCCAGGGGGAGCAAACGGG
rnacentral:rRNA from 1 species